UACAAUUUCCCCAACUAACUCACAGGUC
rnacentral:piRNA from 1 species